AAAAAAAGGGCUUGAAAAAAAAAUCUAUGAUGGGAACGGGUUGAGCAAAGAAAUUAAACAAGCAUAAAUGUAUCAUAAAAUUAACAAGCAAAAAAUUAAACAAGCAAAAUAUUAAACAAGCAAAAAAUUACAAAAAAUCUAAGAAAUUUUAAAUCGUGGAGUGGGAAAUUCGACGGUGGAUGGCGGCGAACCUUUUGAUGGCGGUGGACGUUGGAUGAACAGGGCAGUGAACGGCCGAGAGGUUGGACCCAAGUUCCGAUUUCAGUGAGCCCGUGGAUAUUGAUGCUGAGAAUAAGCUCCGUUGUCGACGGUCGAUGGCGGCGAACCGUUGAUGGCGGCUGACGAUGGAUGCACUUGGCAGUUAACGACGGAAAGGUUAGAGGCAACUUCAGAUUUCAGUGAUUUUGAUUUUAAGGA
rnacentral:lncRNA from 1 species